AUUGAACGCUGGCGGCAUGCCUUACACAUGCAAGUCGAACGGUAACAGGUCUUCGGAUGCUGACGAGUGGCGAACGGGUGAGUAAUACAUCGGAACGUGCCCAGACGUGGGGGAUAACGAGGCGAAAGCUUUGCUAAUACCGCAUACGAUCUAAGGAUGAAAGCAGGGGACCGCAAGGCCUUGCGCGUUUGGAGCGGCCGAUGGCAGAUUAGGUAGUUGGUGGGAUAAAAGCUUACCAAGCCGACGAUCUGUAGCUGGUCUGAGAGGACGACCAGCCACACUGGGACUGAGACACGGCCCAGACUCCUACGGGAGGCAGCAGUGGGGAAUUUUGGACAAUGGGCGAAAGCCUGAUCCAGCAAUGCCGCGUGCAGGAUGAAGGCCUUCGGGUUGUAAACUGCUUUUGUACGGAACGAAAAGGCUCUGGUUAAUACCUGGGGCACAUGACGGUACCGUAAGAAUAAGCACCGGCUAACUACGUG
rnacentral:rRNA from 1 species